rnacentral:rRNA from 1 species
AUUGAACGCUGGCGGCAUGCCUUACACAUGCAAGUCGAACGGCAGCGGGGGAGAAGCUUGCUUUUCCUGCCGGCGAGUGGCGAACGGGUGAGUAAUACAUCGAAACGUGCCCCGUAGUGGGGGAUAACUAGUCGAAAGAUUAGCUAACACCGCAUACGACCUGAGGGUGGAAGUGGGGGACCGCAAGGCCUCAUGCUAUAGGAGCGGCCGAUGUCUGAUUAGCUAGUUGGUGGGGUAAAGGCCUACCAAGGCGACGAUCAGUAGCUGGUCUGAGAGGACGAUCAGCCACACUGGGACUGGGACACGGCCCAGCCGCCUACGGGAGGCAGCGGUGGGGAAUUUUGGACAAUGGGCGAAAGCCUGAUCCAGCAAUGCCGCGUGUGUGAAGAAGGCCUUCGGGUUGUAAAGCACUUUUGUCCGGAAAGAAAUGGCUCUGGUUAAUACCUGGGGUCGAUGACGGUACCGGAAGAAUAAGGACCGGCUAACUACGUGCCAGCCGCCGCCGUAA